rnacentral:rRNA from 1 species
UACGUAGGGGGCAAGCGUUGUCCGGAAUCAUUGGGCGUAAAGCGCGCGUAGGUGGCUUCGUAAGUCCGUUGUGAAAGUCAAAGGCUCAACCUUUGAAAGCCGAUGGAUACUGCGGAGCUAGAGUACGGAAGAGGCGAGUGGAAUUCCUGGUGUAGCGGUGGAAUGCGCAGAUAUCAGGAGGAACACCAAUAGCGAAGGCAGCUCGCUGGGACGGUACUGACGCUGAGGCGCGAGAGCGUGGGGAGCGAACAGG